GACAGGUGCUGCAUGGCUGUCGUCAGCUCGUGUCGUGAGAUGUUGGGUUAAGUCCCGUAACGAGCGCAACCCUUGUCCCUAGUUGCCAGCACAUAAUGGUGGGAACUCUAGGGAGACUGCCGGUGACAAACCGGAGGAAGGUGGGGAUGACGUCAGGUCAUCAUGGCCCUUACGGCCAGGGCUACACACGUGCUACAAU
rnacentral:rRNA from 1 species